rnacentral:lncRNA from 1 species
UAUUCUCAGCCUGAUUUAAGUUUUCAAAGUCAUAUAAUUUACCCAUCAACUUUUGCGUUCUAUGAAUAUAAAAAAUAAACUCAAAAACCUAUAACAAAUACCUUGAUGUCAUCUUUGUACUUUGAAAUGGUGAGAAAGUUGGAUGGUGAUAUAAACCUCGAUGGCGUUAGAGAGUUGGACAGCGAGAUAUAGACCUCGAUGGCGUUGGAGAGCUAGACGACAAGAUAGCUAAAUCGAAAUUUAAUUUUAAAAUUUUUAUCUGAAUCGCGGGAAAGGAGAAAGAA